rnacentral:rRNA from 1 species
GAUGAACGCUGGCGGCGUGCCUAAUACAUGCCAGUCGAGCGAACAGACGAGGAGCUUGCUCCUCAGACGUUAGCGGCGGACGGGUGAGUAACACGUGGAUAACCUACCUAUCAGACUGGGAUAACUUCGGGAAACCGGAGCAAAUACCGUAUAGCAUAUUGAACCUCAUGGUUCAAUAGUGAAAGACGGAUUUGCUGUAUCUUACAGAUAGAUCCGGGCCGAAUUUGGUAGUUGGUAAGGUAACGGCUUACCAAGGCAACGUGGCGUAGCCGACCUGGGAGGGGGAUGGGCCAACCGGGAACUGGAACACGGUCAAGACUCCUAGGGGAGGAGGCAGUGGGGAAUCUUCCGCAAGGGGCGAAAGCCUGACGGAGCAACGCCGCGGGAGUGAUGAAGGUCUUCGGAUCGUAAAACUCUGUUAUUAGGGAAGAACAAAUGUGUAAGUAACUAUGCACGUCUUGACGGUACCUAAUCAGAAAGCCACGGCUAACUACGUG